GAUAAACGCUGGCGGCGUGCUUCAGGCAUGCAAGUCGAACGAGCGAUGCGGGUUCGCCUGCAAAGCGAGUGGCGGACGGGUGAGUAACACGUAAGCAACCUGCCCAGAAGUGUGGAAUAACCCACCGAAAGGUGAGCUAAUACCGCAUGUUGUGGUCCUUCCCUGGAGGGACUAUUAAAGGAGCAAUUCGCUUCUGGAGGGGCUUGCGGCCGAUUAGCUAGUUGGGGGGUAACGGCCUACCAAGGCGACGAUCGGUAGCUGGUCUGAGAGGACGGACAGCCACACGGGGACUGAGAUACGG
rnacentral:rRNA from 1 species